UACAGAGGGUGCAAGCGUUAAUCGGAAUUACUGGGCGUAAAGCAUGCGUAGACAGUUAUGUAAGUCAGAUGUGAAAGCCCAGGGCUCAACCUUGGAAUUGCAUUUGAGACUGCAUAGCUAGGGUGCGGAAGAGGGAAGCGGAAUUUCCGGUGUAGCGGUGAAAUGCGUAGAUAUCGGAAGGAACACCAGUGGCGAAAGCGGCUUCCUGGUCCAGCACCGACGUUCAGGCACGAAAGCGUGGGGAGCAAACAGG
rnacentral:rRNA from 1 species